AAUUUCUUAACAGUUCAGUUUCUUUUUGCCACUACUUAAGAUCACAACUCGUAAAAAGGAAUACGAGUAAGAUAAAGAUUAUCAAUAUUAAAAAAAAAAAGAUGAAUUUUUUAUUGCUCAUUUCAAUAUUUGCGGCCUGUGCUGUCCACUGCUUGGCAUUAAAAAACGUUGAAUGUGGCUUACCACCUUUUAAGAAUGGCGAUGGAAUAGUUGCUUGUAUGGCACGUAUGCCUAGUUGGAGUUAUAAUUUAAAGACAAACGAAUGUGUCAGGUUUAUAUAUGGAGGAUGUGGCGGCAAUAAAAAUCGUUUUGAAAGCAAACAGGAAUGUUUGGCCAGAUGCAAGGAAUGAAGCAAUAAAUGCAAGGACUA